rnacentral:rRNA from 1 species
ACGGGUGCGUAACGCGUGGGAAUCUGCCCUUGGGUUCGGAAUAACAGUUAGAAAUGACUGCUAAUACCGGAUGAUGUCUUCGGACCAAAGAUUUAUCGCCCAAGGAUGAGCUCGCGUAAGAUUAGCUAGUUGGUGGGGUAAUGGCCCACCAAGGCGACGAUCUUUAGCUGGUCUGAGAGGAUGAUCAGCCACACUGGGACUGAGACACGGCCCAGACUCCUACGGGAGGCAGCAGUGGGGAAUAUUGGACAAUGGGCGAAAGCCUGAUCCAGCAAUGCCGCGUGAGUGAUGAAGGCCUUAGGGUUGUAAAGCUCUUUUACCAGGGAUGAUAAUGACAGUACCUGGAGAAUAAGCUCCGGCUAACUCCGUGCCAGCAGCCGCGGUAAUACGGAGGGAGCUAGCGUUGUUCGGAAUUACUGGGCGUAAAGCGUACGUAGGCGGUUAUUCAAGUCAGAGGUGAAAGCCCGGGGCUCAACCCCGGAGCGGCCUUUGAAACUAGAUAGCUAGAGUCUUGGAGAGGUUAGUGGAAUUCCGAGUGUAGAGGUGAAAUUCGUAGA